rnacentral:rRNA from 1 species
UGAGUACGAGAUGCUACGGCAUCGAAGCAGUCUAUGUCAUACUUCCAAGAAAAGCUUGCAAUGUCAUAAACAAAUAAUGCCUGUACCAUAACCGACACAGGUGGGUAGGUAGAGUAUACUAAGGGGCGCGAGAUAACUCUCUCUAAGGAACUCGGCAAAAUGACUCCGUAACUUCGGGAGAAGGAGUGCCUUAUUUUUAUAAGGUUGCAAUAACAAGAUCCAAGCAACUGUUUACCAAAAACACAGGUCUCCGCUAAGUCGUAAGACGAUGUAUGGAGGCUGACGCCUGCCCAGUGCCAGAAGGUUAAAGAAGUUGGUUAGCAUUAGCGAAGCUGAUAACUGAAGCCCUGGUGAACGGCGGCCGUAACUAUAACGGUCCUAAGGUAGCGAAAUUCCUUGUCGGGUAAGUUCCGACCCGCACGAAAGGCGUAAUGAUUUGGAUACUGUCUCGGAGAGGGGCUCGGUGAAAUAGACUUGUCUGUGAAGAUGCGGACUACCUGCACCUGGACAGAAAGACCCUAUGAAGCUUUACUGUAACUUGAGAUUGAAAUUGGACUUUAUCUGCGCAGUAUAGGUGGGAGACGUUGAAAAUAUUCUUGCGGGAAUAUUGGAGUCAUCAGUGAGAUACCACUCUUAUAAUGUUAGAUUUCUAACUUUGUAUCAUUAUCUGGUCAAAGAACAGUUUCAGGCGGGCAGUUUGACUGGGGCGGUCGCCUCCCAAACGGUAACGGAGGCGCACAAAGGUUUCCUCUGAACGUGUAGAAAUCGUAUCUAGAGUGUAAAGGCAUAAGGAAGCUUGACUGUGAGACCUACAAGUCGAGCAGGGACGAAAGUCGGUCUUAGUGAUCUGACGGUGCUGAGUGGAAAGGCCGUCACUCAACGGAUAAAAGUUACUCUAGGAUAACAGGCUGAUCUCCCCCAAGAGUUCACAUCGACGGGGAGGUUUGGCACCUCGAUGUCGGCUCAUCGCAUCCUGGGGCGGUAGUACGUCCCAAGGGUUGGGCUGUUCGCCCAUGAAAGCGGUACGCGAGCUGGGUUCAGAACGUCGUGAGACAGUUCGGUCCAUAUCCGGUGUAGGCGUUAGAAUAUUGAGAGGAGCCUUCUUUAGUACGAGAGGACCGAGAAGGACAUACCUCUGGUGUACCAGUUAUCGUGCCAACGGUAAACGCUGGGUAGCCAUGUAUGGAGAGGAUAACCGCUGAAAGCAUCUAAGUGGGAAGCCCACCUCAAGAUAAG